UCGCUCUCGAAAUGGCGGGAAAGGACCUACCCGAUGAGAUCGCAGUGGAAAUCCUCUGCUCCGAUUCAGAUCGGUCUCGAAACGGUGGCGUUUGAUUAUCUCCGAUCCAGAAUUCGCCAAAUCUCAGUUUCCAAGUAUCUUCCAACUCCAGUCGGAGGAGACACCUCCUCUACUUCAAAUCAACGCUUGUCCACACAAAGAUGAAAUCAAGAGGAGAACAAUUGCUCGGUGCAAGUACUGCUGGGGUAUUGGAAUUUAGGGUUGCACGAACAAAUGCUUGGACAGUUGAAGUUAGGCAUUCCAGAGGAAGUUGUUGCACAAUACCAUUUGUUUAAACUCAAGUGUUUAGUUGGUCAUUGAUUUUCAUGGUUUGACUUUGAAAGAUCAGAGAAUAUUCUGAGCAUGUGCUAUGCUUUGGUUUG